ACUCCUACGGGAGGCAGCAGUGGGGAAUAUUGCACAAUGGGCGCAAGCCUGAUGCAGCCAUGCCGCGUGUGUGAAGAAGGCCUUCGGGUUGUAAAGCACUUUCAGUAGGGGAGGAGGUGUAUAGUGUUAAUAGCGCUUAUCAUUUGACUGUUACCUACAGAAGAAGCACCGGCUAACUCCGUGCCAGCAGCCGCGGUAAUACGGAGGGUGCGAGCGUUAAUCGGAAUUACUGGGCGUAAAGCGCAUGCAGGUGGUUUGUUAAGUCAGAUGUGAAAGCCCCGGGCUCAACCUGGGAAUUGCAUUUGAAACUGGCAAACUAGAGUACUGUAGAGGGGGGUAGAAUUUCAGGUGUAGCGGUGAAAUGCGUAGAGAUCUGAAGGAAUACCGGUGGCGAAGGCGGCCCCCUGGACAGAUACUGACACUCAGAUGCGAAAGCGUGGGGAGCAAACAGGAUUAGAUACCCUGGUAGGAUAGCGU
rnacentral:rRNA from 1 species